rnacentral:lncRNA from 1 species
CAUCAAUCUUCUAUCCCGCUGAAAACGCUGUGAUUUUGUAAAAGGAAUGCAUUAAGGAUAUAAGAAAUCACCUAAUUUCUAACAAACUGGGAAAAUUUACAAAUUUAAAUGAGGGACAUUUAAUUUGCUUUCAGGCUGGAAUAUUUUCUGUCAUGGGAGAAUAUUUGGGGUGUCCGAACCACAGGUAUUCUCUCGGUAUGAAGUGGAGGAGGAGCAGCAUAUUAUGUGGUCAUCCUGACCACAAGGGUAAAUCCAAGCCUGAAUUCGACCGGGCAGUCACGCCUCAGAUAAGCCACCACCUUUUGAGAACCAGAGGAGUUGUGCUUCCAAUAGGAUCAGGUAAUCAUCUCAAGUUUAAAGAUAAUUAGGAGGCUGUUUGAUAACUUAAUAAAACUUCAGAACCCAAGCCCUUAAUUUGCAGUGUAGUACUGACAAUUUUUUUAAAGAGUAAUGUGGGACAAAUGUGGGGGUAGAGUGAAUUAAUCUUAAUUUUCAGUCUGAACUGUAUCAUGUCUGUUCGCCCUAAUAACACAUUUGCCCUGAGUCCGUUUUCUAGAAAAUAUUAAUAUUCAG